GCACCCAAUUCCACCACAGAGUCGGGAUUUCGUCGGUGAUCGUGAUGGGGUGGUGAGAGGUGGAUGAGGAAACAGGCACCAGUGCAGCUGAUUUGACCUCCAGUGGGAUAGAUACGAUUAGCACCAGGAUCGUGUCUCAUUUUGAACCCAGUGCUCUCAAGAAUUAGUGCUCAAGAACUUGACUUUUGUCACAAAGACAAAAAUUACUUUACAUGAAGAUUCUGAGAUGUGACUUGCUCUCCCCUAAGACAGAUCUUUAUGGGCAGAAACACAGAAAUGGAAGUAGCAGAUUUUAAGAAAACUGAUUCAGACUUUGAACUUGUAUGACCUUAUAUUUAUUGAUUUAUUUGAGUCAUAAGAUUUCUGGGUUUUUUUUUUUUUGAGAAUAUGAAAGACUAGUUAAGAAAAUUUGUGUGUUUAUUUGAUAUUUGCUUUCUGAAAAUAUAAAAAAUUAUGAGAGAGCUA
rnacentral:lncRNA from 1 species